ACACCGAGGCCCCGCCUCCCACGUGCCAGCGCUCCUCUCCCAGCGCUCACCGGUCCUUCCAGCAGUCCUCAGGUUGCACGCGACCGGCAGUGAGCUUCCACUGGGUAGGGGUGGGAAGCCGGUGGCUCCGGGCAGCGGUGAUAACCCAGCAAGGAAGCAGAGUCGCAUUUCGGAGCGUCCACUCGUAACGCGGCCUCUCGCACACGGAGCUCGUAGUCCAGGGGAGAGGAGGCCAGGGCGGCCCUGGAGAGGUUGUAGGUGCAGCGGAUCGGCCGUAGAGACCCCGUCGGACUCAGGAAGGCACUGUCAGCCGCUCGGAGCGGAACCCCUUUCCCAGACAGUAGAGUCACCCCUCCCCCUCCGGGGACCGUUACUGGUCGCCUCCUGAAGGAUCAAUCUGGGAUUGUCCGCUAAAGUGGCCUUAGGCACCGUUAGUCUAGGGCUCGCUGGCUUGUGGCCUCAGAAGUACCACAACAGGACUACUUAAUCCUUAGAGGAUGUACAGCCAAACAAGGUGACUAGCCAUCGGCCAGGAGAGCUUAUUAAAAGAUUUCAUUUCUUGGGCAUCCAGGGAGGAGUCAAAAUAAAAACUAAUGUUACUUUGCAAAAGAUGACAAAGCUUUUGAAAGUCAAAAUUCCCAAGCCGGUGACCAUUGGAGAAGCCGGGCCAGCAUUUUGUUGACUAUUAUGCUAUGAGUCUCUAACCUGCUACCCUCUGAACUGAGACCUCAAGUGCCGGCCCUGAAAAGGAAGAAAAAGGAUGACUUGGAAGCAGGGCUGCGGAGAAGCACCUCAGCAGGCAGAGGCCAGGUUUUGAUCGCAUGCUGCUCUGUGUCCUGGGGCCUUUGCAAACCAACCCAGCACUACAGAAAAACAAGUCCAGUAAUGGAAUGCUUUAAAAGCUGGAUACAAUGUCUCAUACCUGCGCUUGGGAAGCUGAAGCAGGAGGACUGCUGAAAGUCUGAGACCAGCCUGGGCUACAAGUGAGACUGUCUCAAAAAACAACCCCCCCCCCCAAAAUGCAAAACCAAAACGAGAAAGAAAAAGAAUAACACGAUGUCCUGGUGUCAGUGGCUCUUGGA
rnacentral:lncRNA from 1 species